rnacentral:rRNA from 1 species
AUUGAACGCUGGCGGCAGGCCUAACACAUGCAAGUCGAGCGAGCGGCGGACGGGUGAGUAAUGUCUGGGAAACUGCCUGAUGGAGGGGGAUAACUACUGGAAACGGUAGCUAAUACCGCAUACCAUCAGAUGUGCCCAGAUGGGAUUCGCUAGUAGGUGGGGUAACGGCUCACCUAGGCGACGAUCCCUAGCUGGUCUGAGAGGAUGACCAGCCACACUGGAACAGAGACACGGUCCAGACUACUACGGGAGGCAGCAGUGGGGAAUAUUGAACAAUGGGCGCAGGCUUGAUGCAGCCAUGCCGCGUGUGGGAAGAAGGCCUUCGGGUUGUAAAGCACUUUCAGCGGGGAAACGUUAACCGCAGAAGAAGCACCGGCUAACUCCGUGCCAGCAGCAGCGGUAAUC